GUGGGGAAUAUUGGACAAUGGGCGAAAGCCUGAUCCAGCCAUGCCGCGUGUGUGAAGAAGGUCUUCGGAUUGUAAAGCACUUUAAGUUGGGAGGAAGGGCAGUAAGUUAAUACCUUGCUGUUUUGACGUUACCGACAGAAUAAGCACCGGCUAACUUCGUGCCAGCAGCCGCGGUAAUACGAAGGGUGCAAGCGUUAAUCGGACUUACUGGGCGUAAAGCGCGCGUCGGUGGUUUUGUAAGUUGGCGGUGAAAUCCCCGGGCGCAACCUGGGAACUGCCUACAAAACUGCAUGACUAGAGUACGGCAGAUGGUAGUGGAAUUGCCUGUGUAGCGGUGAAAUGCGUAGAUAUAGGAAGGAACACCAGUGGCGAAGGCGACUACCUGGACUGAUACUGACACUGAGGUGCGAAAGCGUGGGGAGCAAACAGGAUUAGAAACCCUUGUAGUCC
rnacentral:rRNA from 1 species